GAUGAACGCUGGCGGCGUGCCUAAUACAUGCAAGUCGAGCGAACAGAUAAGGAGCUUGCUCCUUUGACGUUAGCGGCGGACGGGUGAGUAACACGUGGGUAACCUACCUAUAAGACUGGGAUAACUUCGGGAAACCGGAGCCAAUACCGGAUAAUAUUUCGAACCGCAUGGUUCGAUAGUGGAAGAUGGUUUUGCUAUCACUUAUAGAUGGACCCGCGCCGUAUUAGCUAGUUGGUAAGGUAACGGCUUACCAAGGCGACGAUACGUAGCCGACCUGAGAGGGUGAUCGGCCACACUGGAACUGAGACACGGUCCAGACUCCUACGGGAGGCAGCAGUAGGGAAUCUUCCGCAAUGGGCGAAAGCCUGACGGAGUAACGCCGCGUGAGUGAUGAAGGUCUUCGGAUCGUAAAACUCUGUUAUUAGGGAAGAACAUACGUGUAAGUAACUGUGCACGUCUUGACGGUACCUAAUCAGAAAGCCACGGCUAACUACGUG
rnacentral:rRNA from 1 species